GGCCGACAGAGUUUGAUCCUGGCUCAGGACGAACGCUGGCGGCGUGCCUAACACAUGCAAGUCGAGCGGAAAGGCCUCCUUCGGGAAGUACUCGAGCGGCGAACGGGUGAGUAACACGUGGAUAAUCAACCUCUUGCUCUGGAAUACCCCGGGGAAACUCGGAUCAAUGCCAGAUAAAGUGCGGUGCUGUCGGGCGCCGUACCAAAGAUAGCUUCGGCCUUCGGCGAGAGACGAGUCCGCGGCCCAUUAGCUAGUUGGCGGGGUAAUGGCCCACCAAGGCUACGAUGGGUAGCUGGUCUGAGAGGAUGAUCAGCCACACUGGGACUGAGACACGGCCCAGACUCCUACGGGAGGCAGCAGUGGGGAAUCUUGCGCAAUGGGCGAAAGCCUGACGCAGCAACGCCGCGUGCGGGAAGACGGCCUUCGGGUUGUAAACCGCUUUCAGGGGAGACGAAGCUUCCAAGGUUAAUAGCUUUGCGGAGUGACGGUAUCUUCAGAAGAAGUCCCGGCUAACUACGUGCCAGCAGCCGCGGUAAUA
rnacentral:rRNA from 1 species